GGGGCUGUAGCUCAGUUGGGAGAGCGCCUGACUGGCAGUCAGGAGGUCAGGGGUUCGAGUCCCCUCAGCUCCACCA
rnacentral:tRNA from 1 species